GAUGAACGCUAGCGGCAGGCCUAACACAUGCAAGUCGAGGGGUAACAUAGAAAAGCUUGCUUUUCUGAUGACGACCGGCGCACGGGUGCGUAACGCGUAUACAACCUACCUUUUAGCGGGGAAUAGCCCAGGGAAACUUGGAUUAAUGCCUCAUAGUAUAUAAGCUUCUCCUGAAGUUUAUAUUAAACAUUUAUGGCUAUUAGAUGGGUAUGCGUCCUAUUAGUUAGUUGGUAAGGUAACGGCUUACCAGGGCAGCGAUAGGUAGGGGUCCUGAGAGGGAGAUCCCCACACUGGUACUGAGACACGGACCAGACUCCUACGGGAGGCAGCAGUGAGGAAUAUUGGACAAUGGGCGAGAGCCUGAUCCAGCCAUGCCGCGUGCAGGAAGACUGCCCUAUGGGUUGUAGACUGCUUUUACAGAGGAAGAACCACCCCCACGUGUGGGGGUUUGACGGUACUCUGCGAAUAAGGAUCGGCUAACUCCGUG
rnacentral:rRNA from 1 species